AAAUGCGAUCAGUCCAGCACUAAUGCACUGGAUCCCAUCAUAACUCCGCAGUUAAGCUUACUUGGGCAAGAGUAGUACUAGGUUGGGUGACUUCCCGGGAAGUCCUCGUGUUGCAUCCC
rfam:Capsella rubella cultivar Monte Gargano unplaced genomic scaffold scaffold_5, whole genome shotgun sequence.